AAUCUACAAUAAUAUUGUUAAAAAAGAAAACACAAAUUAAAUUAUUGAACACAUGAUGACGAAUUCUAUUCAGGCGCAGCUAGGCAAGUACAAUUUCUAGAAAAGAACUCAUUCCUAUAAGAAUAAAUCCCUUUAAAAUGGCUGCUGGAAACGUGGACUUUAGGACGUGCAACUAUACUACUGCCCGCGACCCCCGGGUCAUCCUUCUAGAAGAUAUGGACCAGUUCGAGGUCCAAGUCUUUGAAGCGUAUCACCAACGAGGAUUUCCCCGAGUCGUCGUAAACUACGCCGGCCUAAUCACCGCGGUCAGCUAUGAAGCUAAAAAACUGGGAAUCAACCGUGACGCCACACCCCGUGCCCAGGACGCUUUGAAAAUUUGUCGCAAUCUCAUCCUAAUCCAGCAACCGCAAGAUGCCGACAUCAAGCUGAAAGAAGCCAGUUACAAGAUACGUCUCGCGGUCGAUUCCGUUCUCCAGAGUUUGAAUCCCCCUCCAGUUUUUCAAUACUCAUCCCCGGACGAGUCGUACAUCGAUAUUACAGCGUACAUCGAUAGCAUGGAGGAACGCUAUGGGUAUGAUAACCUGGUCCACCAAGUUAAGGAGAAUCACCUUUGGCCACAGACUUUCCUUUAUAAUGGAGAAAUCGAUGGAAAACCGAGCUCAUGAUUAGCUCAAUUAUGUCCUUGAACGCCUGCAGGAUCUAAAAUACUGGGAAAACUGUAGUCAAGAAGUUCGCCUAAUCUAUGGGUCUCUUAUCGGAGCGAGGAUUAUCAAGAAAAUUUUGCAAGCCACUAAUUAUCAGUCAUCUAUUGGAAUUGGAUGCAACAAAUCUAUCGCCAAGAUCGGAAGUGCCCUCCACAAACCGGGGUCCAUAACUAUUCUAGCUCCAACGGGAUUGCAACAAUUUGCAGAAUUUGUGAAGAUCGAAGGAAUUUCGGGACUAGGAGGUAAAUUGGGAGACGUGAUUAAGCACAAAUUCGGGGUGGAAACUAUGCUCGACUUACAAAACGUGAGACAUGUUCGUCUCGCGAAGACGGUGACGUUUAACGGAAAUUGGAUCGGGUAUGAGAAAGCAACAGUGAUUUUGAACAAGGCCUACGGUCUUUGCGACGAUGAAGUUGUUCCGAUAAAAUACGCUAGUACGGCUACAGUUUCGCAUCAGUUUUAUGGGCACACUUUCACACGGACGCAAUACAUGACCGAAAUCCUGGAACUCUACGUAGAUAAGAUGUUGGAGCGACUUCACUUCGAAAAAAGAAAUCACAACAGGACCCCCACCACUUUGAAAUUCAGCAUUUUCCUCACAAAUCGUAACAAUAUCCACGCCAAACUGGAGAAUGUUAUGUGGCAUGAAAUUAACAAUAAGGGGAAGAUGAUAGAUAGUUUUGGUUAUGAUAAUACGUCAAUUAUACCGCAAUACUGGGAUAAGAAUGCGCAAGUUGAUAAGGUGCAGAUAGUUGCCAAAUUUGCAGACAAUCCAACACAAGUUUAUGCCGUGUCAGCAUUUAGUUUUAUGUUUUAAGUAAUCCAACAAAACUAUUGUACUACUAUUUGUUUCAUUAUUUUACAAAUUGUUCCCAACCGUAAUUGGGUGUUCCGCUAUGAAAAACUCAAAACUACGUGGUAUUAAAUCUCAACUCUGUGGAGUAACUAUGUGGAGUAACUAUGUGUCUCCUCCAUGCUGGUUAUAAUUUGCCACUGAUUAAUAAUAAUAUUUUUCACGAAACUAAAAGUUAUUAAUCGUUCGUAUAAAAUUUCUCGCCCAAAGCUAAUAAAUUUGAAUUUCCUAAAAAAAUAUUGUUACCAGUGCGGUCGAAGAGUCUAGGGACUCUGCAUAGUAACAUUUGUUACCACGUUACUUUGAGGGUAUGUCAUAGCCAUUGACAAAAUCAUGUUUUAUAACGUGCCGGACGAAUUAUAUGUUAUUUAGCAAUAAUUAAAUUAAUCUGUAUGUAAUUUAAGUGAUUGUAUUGACUGCUUCCAGCAUUCUUAAUAUAAGAUGUCAAUAUAUGACACACAUGGGUUAAUUAAUUUAAUAAAUUUAAAAAAUACUUAUUUUUUAUUUUAUUUUGCAUAAAUGUGAUAAACUUAAAAAAGGUUGAAAAAAUCGUUGAGAAUCUAUUUAUGUAUCACCCAUAGGGUAGUAAUGUCAUCAUGUAGAUUCCGACUAAAACUACAUAUUUUAUAAAAAUAAUUUCAAAACCAAGUUCAAAAUUUGAAAAAUUUGGAAUACACCCAGAAUUUUGGCAUAAUCCCUGAUGUUUUUCAUCUCUAUGAACUCAUACAUAUAUGUAUACCUACGGAAAUUUGUUAAUGGAAAUUUUGCGAGUGUCUUCUCGCAAACUCUCUGAUUCUUAAAUACUCUGUUUUAUAUGCAAACGUAUAUUUAGGUCAUAUAAAGAUGGAUAAAAAUAUAUACAUGUAUACACAUAAAAAUACAUACAUGUGUACAUAUGUCCCUACUGUGUAUGCAAAAUUUUCCCCUAAAAUACGUAUGUAUGUAGUAUAUACAUACAUAUUAAAUAUGUAUGUAAAUAUGUACGUAACCUAAAUUUACAAAAUGGCACAGAUUGUACCUAUUGUAAUGAAUAAGUUAUACAUACAAAUGUGCAAACGUGUAUUAAAGUUGCAUUCAAUAAUUGUACAAAAAAGGACAUACUCCAAAAAUUCUGCGUGACAUGACCUGGCCAAGGAGAAACAUAUUUACAAUAAACAUCUACAUAUGUAUAAAUACACAAUGAAAUGACAAAAUUGCGUAAAUCAACUCCAAAUAUCCAUUCAACUCAUACCGCUUGAGCGACUCUCUUUCCAAAAUUGGGACCAAUUUGACAGCCAAGACAAUGCAAUUCUUCCCGAUUUCAUGAAUUACUUAAUUUCUUACGAGUAUAAAAACAAUGGAUUUUCCAUGAAAACGAUAUCAUAAAUAUCAUCCUCUCAUCAUCCAUAGCCUCUCGGAGUACAGGAAAAAUCCAAAAAUCAAACCAAAAAUCAAAAAUUAUUUAAAAAUCAAAUCAAACCAAAAAUCCUUCACAUUUCCUAAAAAACAAAAAUCAAUUUCAAAAUGGAUCGAGUUCUCGCAAUUGCUGUCGCAUUGAGCGGAAUACUUUUCGUGGUGUUUGCCUAUCCCCAGGAAAUUCCGCCCGUUCCGGGUGUCGCUAACGGCACGAUUCCUGCCGGUGUUCCACCAGUACCAGGAGUUGCAAAUGGUACCGUUCCCGGAAGCGUCCCACCCAUGCCGGGUGGUGUUGCAAAUGGCACUGUUCCCAAUGUUCCCGUGAACGGCUCGAUACCAGACAUGGGCAACUUGCCAAUUGGUGGAAAUGGAACACUUCCAGGAGGUGUCCAGCUUCCAGGAGGCCUUCCAGUUGGGGGAAGGAAAUAAAUGUGAUACAAAUAUUGGAAAAAAUUACUUGAACAACUUAAUUUGGCAGAAAUUUGGAAUUAUUAUGAAUUGAAUUAAGCGAAAUAAAUUGGUUAAAAUUUACUAUUA